rnacentral:rRNA from 1 species
GACGAACGCUGGCGGCGUGCUUAACACAUGCAAGUCGAACGGAAAGGCCCUGCUUUUGUGGGGUGCUCGAGUGGCGAACGGGUGAGUAACACGUGAGUAACCUGCCCCUGACUUUGGGAUAACUUCAGGAAACUGGGGCUAAUACCGGAUAGGAGCUCCUGCUGCAUGGUGGGGGUUGGAAAGUUUCGGCGGUUGGGGAUGGACUCGCGGCUUAUCAGCUUGUUGGUGGGGUAGUGGCUUACCAAGGCUUUGACGGGUAGCCGGCCUGAGAGGGUGACCGGCCACAUUGGGACUGAGAUACGGCCCAGACUCCUACGGGAGGCAGCAGUGGGGAAUAUUGCACAAUGGGCGGAAGCCUGAUGUAGCAACGCCGCGUGCGGGAUGACGGCCUUCGGGUUGUAAACCGCUUUCGCCUGUGACGAAGCGUGAGUGACGGUAAUGGGUAAAGAAGCACCGGCUAACUACGUG